rnacentral:rRNA from 1 species
UCGCGACGUAGUUGACUCCGUGGCUACAGGACGAACGCUGGCGGCGUGCCUAACACAUGCAAGUCGAACGGAGUUAUUCCUUCGGGGAUAACUUAGUGGCGGACGGGUGAGUAACGCGUGAGUAACCUGCCUUUCAGAGGGGGAUAACGUUCUGAAAAGAUCGCUAAUACCGCAUGAGACUACAGAGCUGCAUGGCUCAGUGGUCAAAGGAGCAAUCCGCUCAAGGAUGGACUCGCGUCUGAUUAGAUAGUUGGUGAGGUAACGGCUCACCAAGUCGACGAUCAGUAGCCGAACUGAGAGGUUGAUCGGCCACAUUGGGACUGAGACACGGCCCAGACUCCUACGGGAGGCAGCAGUGGGGAAUAUUGGGCAAUGGGCGCAAGCCUGACCCGGCAAUGCCGCGUGAAGGAAGAAGGCCUUCGGGUUGUAAACUUCUUUUAUGAGGGACGAAGAAAGUGACGGUACCUCAUGAAUAAGCCACGGCUAACUACGUG